CCUACGGGUGGCAGCAGUGGGGCAUAUUGCACAAUGGGGGAAACCCUGAUGCAGCGACGCCGCGUGAGCGAUGAAGUUCUUCGGUAUGUAAAGCUCUAUUCGCCGGGGAGAAAAUCGCGGUAACUGACUACGAUGCCCCCGCUAACUCCCUGCCAGCAGCCGCGGUAAUACGUAGGGGGGAAGCGUUUUCCGGAUGUACUGGGGGGAAAGGGGGCGUAGAGGGCUGUGCAAGCCAGAUGUUAAAGCCCCGCGCUCAACCUUGGGGGUGCAUUGAGAACUGUGUGGCUGGAGUGUCGGAGAGGCAGGCGGAAUUCCUAGUGUAGCGGUGAAAUGCGUAGAUAUUAGGAGGAACACCAGUGGCGAAGGCGGCGUGCUGGACGUUGACUGACGUUGAGGCUCGAAAGCGUGGGGAGCAAACAGGAUUAGAUACCCCAGUAGUC
rnacentral:rRNA from 1 species